GAGUUUGAUCCUGGCUCAGAUUGAACGCUGGCGGCAUGCCUUACACAUGCAAGUCGAACGGCAGCAUGAUCUAGCUUGCUAGAUUGAUGGCGAGUGGCGAACGGGUGAGUAAUACAUCGGAACGUGCCCUGUAGGUGGGGGAUAACUAGUCGAAAGAUUAGCUAAUACCGCAUACGACCUGAGGGUGAAAGGUGGGGGACCGCAAGGCCUCAUACUAUAGGAGCGGCCGAUGUCUGAUUAGCUAGUUGGUGGGGUAAAGGCCCACCAAGGCGACGAUCAGUAGCUGGUCUGAGAGGACGAUCAGCCACACUGGGACUGAGACACGGCCCAGACUCCUACGGGAGGCAGCAGUGGGGAAUUUUGGACAAGUGGGGGCAACCCUGAUCCAGCAAUGCCGCGUGUGUG
rnacentral:rRNA from 1 species